GAGGAUUGAACACGCUGACUGAAAUGUAUUUAAUUCUUAGUAGGAAAGCCUUUGCUGGUGCUGACAGCUUCAAGGCAUCUCCUGUAUGGAGAAACGAGUCGCACGCAUUGCUCAGGUGGGAUUUUGGCCCAAACGCUCUUCAGAUCUGGAAGGCUCUGGAGGGCCUCUUCUAUGAACUCUGGUCUUCAGUUCUUUCCAAAUUGGAUUCAAGUCGGGUGACUGACUGACUGACUGGGCCAUUCUAGCAGCUUCUUGAUUUUCUGAACCCAACUGAGAGUUUCCUUGGCUGUGUGUUUGGGGUCCUCAUCUUGCUGAAAUGUCCAGCAUCCUGGUAGAUGGCAGCAGCUUCUUGUCAAGAAUGUCCUGCUACAUUUCUCCUUUCAUCCUUCCUUCAAUUCUGUGAAGUCUACCAGCCCCCCACACACCCUGAUAUUCCCCCUCCAGAUGUCACUGUUGAUGUGGUGUCUUUGAGGUGAUGAUGUGCAGCGCCAUUUCUCCUCCCAACAUGUUGUGUGCAGUGACACCCAAAGAGUUCCAUUUUGCUCUCAUAUCUGACCAGACUCUACUCUCCCAGUUAUUUCACUAGUUUGUCCAAAUGUUGUGCAGCAAACUUUCAACAAGCUUCAACAUGCCAUGGCGGUGAAGUGCAUCACUUACUGGACCUGCUCAUUCCAGGUCUUUCUGAAGCUCUCGCCGAGAGGUUCUUCUUUUGACUCUUGUGAGGAGCAGCUGGUCAUGUCCGGUUUAUGGUGAACUGAUGUUCUCUCCACUUGUGGAUUACGGCCCCCAACGGUGCUCACCGGAACAUUCAGAAGUUUUGAAGUUCGUCUGUCACCAAUGCCAUCGGUGUGUUUGUGAAGGUCCUGAGAGAGCUCUGUGGUUUUACCAUCCAUGAGACUUUUGAGGAUAAGAAACCAUCAAUUAGGACUAAACAGCUGAGAUUCAUUGGCAUUGACGGGGGGCUCUCAGGAUUGACAGACGUCAGCUGAUUUCUUGGCUUUCCAGGCCUUUCUGCACCUCCUUUUCUUCAUGUGUUCAAUACUUUGUCCUGGUGUCAUUGCACUUUAUUACACAUCACUUAUUGGUUUGGAUGUCUUUGUAUGUGUGGAUUACUUGGGUUGUUACUGACAUCCGGGGAAAAUUUCAUAUCAGUAUCCCCAUUAGAAAUAUAUUGACGGAGAAAAACGAUGACACAUUCGAUGCUUAUUUUCCACGCUCUACAAAUCCCUCAUAUAUAUAUUUUAUGUUUUGUUUUUUCUGAUCAAAAAUCUUUGCACACUGAGGAAGUCCCUAAAGACUGGGGGUUAGCAGAUAGCCUGUUAUAUAAGAAGGUGAUUGGGCAGAUCCAAAGAUCUUAUUAUAGAAGAACAUGAUUGGGUGAAUCCAAACAUAUCCCAUUAUACAAAAAGGUGAUUGGGCAGAUCCAAAGAUAUCCCGUUAUUUAAGAAGGUGAUUGGGUGGAUCUAAAGAUAUCCCGUUUUAUAAGAAGGUGAUUGGGUGGAUCCAAAGAUAUCCUGUUUUAUAAGAAGGUGAUUGGGCGGAUCCAAAGAUAUCCCGUUUUAUAAGAAGGUGAUUGGGCGGAUCCAAAGAUACCCCGUUAUUUAAGAAGGUGAUUGGGCGGAUCCAAAGAUAUCCCAUUAUUUAAGAAGGUGAUUGGGCGGAUCCAAAGAUAUCUUAUUAUAGAAGAACAUAUAGGGCAGAGUGGUGGCUCUGAGGCUAAGGAUCUGCGCUAGUAUCCCGUAGGUUGCCGGUUCGAAUCCCCGUCACUGUCAAAAGAGAUCCUACUCUUUCUCCAGGGGCGCUGUACAAUGGCUGACCUUGCAAUCUGACCCCAAGGGGUAUGUGAAAAUGAACAAAUUCCUAAUACAAGAAAUUGUAUAAGGCGCGAAAUAAUGAUCAAAAAAAAAACACGAUUGGGUGGAUCCAAAGAUAUCCUGUUAUAUAAGAAGGUGAUUGGGCAGAUCCAAAGAUAUCCUGUUACAGUGGAACCUCGGGUCACGAACUUCUUGGACCACGUUCAAAUUGGGUUACGACCAAAAAGUUUGCCAAACUUUUGCAUCUGUUCACGACCACACACUCGGGUGAUGAACAAGUAUGCACCAGUGGUUUCCGCACGUAUUCAAUCUCUCCCUGUACCUGUACAGUACAUUGUUCUCGGUCAGACGUGCAUCGCGCAGAGGGACUUUACCUCAAAACUGUAAUCUCCUCUCCACCCAGUUCCUCCUUACUUCCUUCGUGCCAGAACUCGACUCCUGCACGGUUAGUUUUCUUGGUUGUUUAUGGUUGGUUUUUGUAUAAAUGAUGGAUUUUUCAAAUGUUCAUUUUUUUCCCUGUGCUUAAAACUCAUUAAAAAAAAGUGUUUACAGCGAUCGUUUCGUAAGGCUGUAGCGUGAAUUCCUGCAAUGUUAGUUUUCUCAUUUCAAGGUUUUCUCAGUGUUAUUCAAUGUUUUUACAUUUAGUUUACUAUUACGCUGUGCAUUCUAUGGUAUAAUUAACUAUUUUUGUGCUUAAAAAUCUUUGAAAAAAAAUAUAUUUACAUACAGCUCAUACAGUCCGGAAUGGAUUAAUUGAAUUUACAUACAAUCCUAUGGGGGGAAAUUGUUUCGGGUCACGACCAAAUUGGGUUACGACCAGAGUUUUGGAACAAAUUAUGGUCGUGACCUGAGGUUCCACUGUAUAUAAGAAGG